GCUAGCUAGCACUGCAGAGUAUAAAAUGUGGUGAGUAGUUGACUCAAACAGAGAGAAAGACAAUAGUUUAACAGUUUUGAACAAAUUAAUUUCUUCCAAAAUGAAGGAGAAGCAAAAGAGAAAUAGAGAUUGUCAUUUUUAUUCACUUUCAGUUUCACUUAGUUAGCAAAUGCAUCUAGCUAGUUUAGCCUAAUGAAACACCCUGCUCAAACAGAGGGAUGCUAUGUUAGCUAGCAGGUUAUGACUAUCCAACACAACACUGGAACUCUUUCAAGUCAAGGUCGACGACAGGGGAGAGAGAGUGUCAGACGGGAGAGGAGGUUGUCCUUGAUUGGUUCAACAGACACAUCCGAUCGCUAAAUCAUCUACACUCUUAGAAAAAAGGGUUCCAAAAGGGUUCUGCUGCUGUCCCCAUAGGAGAACCCUUUUUGGGAAGGGAAAGGGUAUAUCUAGUCAGUCGCACAACUGAAUGCAUUCAACCAAAAUGUGUCUUCCGC
rnacentral:lncRNA from 1 species